rnacentral:rRNA from 1 species
GCUUGUCUCAAAGAUUAAGCCAUGCAUGUCUAAGUAUAAGCAUUUAUACUGUGAAACUGCGAAUGGCUCAUUAAAUCAGUUAUUGUUUAUUUGAUGGUACCUUUACUACUUGGAUAACCGUGGUAAUUCUAGAGCUAAUACAUGCUAAAAACCCCGACUCAAGAAGGGGUGUAUUUAUUAGAUUCAAACCAGUGUCCCUCGGGACUUUUUGGUGACUCAUAAUAACUUAACGCAGCGCAUGGCCUUCGUGCCGGCGCGGGAUCAUUCAAAUACCUGCCCUAUCAAGUUUCGAUGUGAGGGUAGUGUCCUCACAUGCUUUUGACGGGUAACGGGGAAUUAGGGUUCGACUCCGGAGAGGGAGCCUGAGAAACGGCUACCACAUCCAAGGAAGGCAGCAGGCGCGCAAAUUACCCAAUCCCGAUACGGGGAGGUAGUGACAAGAAAUACCGAUUCAGGAUCUUAUUGGAUCUUGAGAUUGGAAUGAGUACAAUUCAAACCCAUUAACGAGGAACAACUAGAGGGCAAGUCUGGUGCCAGCAGCCGCGGUAAUUCCAGCUCUAGUAGCGUAUAUUAAAAUUGUUGCAGUUAAAACGCUCGUAGUUGAACUUUGGGCUUGGCUGGCUGGUCCGCCUCACCGCGAGCACUGGUCCGGCUGGGCCUUUCCUCUUGGGGAUCCACAUGCCCUUCACUUGGGUGUGUUGGGGAACCAGGACUUUUACUUUGAAAAAAUUAGGGUGUUCAAAGCAGGCAUUUGCUCGAAUACAUUAGCAUGGGAUAAUAGAAUAGGACGUGUGGUCUUAUUUUGUUGGUUUCUAGGACCGCCGUAAUGAUUGAUAGGGAUAGUUGGGGGCAUCGGUAUUCAAUUGUCAGAGGUGAAAUUCUUGGAUUUAUUGAAGACCAACUACUGCGAAAGCAUUUGCCAAAGAUGUUUUCAUUAAUCAGGGAACGAAAGUUAGGG